UGGUGAGUAACGCGUGGGCGACCUUCCCCGGGGAUGGGGACAGCCGUUGGAAACAGCGGGUAAUACCGAAUACGUUCGCGUUAUUAAGGUAACGCGAGGAAAGGGGCUUCGGCCCCGCCCCGGGAUGGGCCCGCGUCCCAUUGCUAGUUGGUGUGGUAAGAGCGCACCAAGGCGAAGAUGGGUAGCCGGCCUGAGAGGGCGAACGGCCACACUGGGACUGAGAUACGGCCCAGACUCCUACGGGAGGCAGCAGCUAAGAAUAUUCCGCAAUGGACGAAAGUCUGACGGAGCGACGCCGCGUGGAUGACGAAGGCCGAAAGGUUGUAAAAUCCUUUUGCGGGCGAAGAAGAAGGGCUGGAGGGAAUGCCAGUCCGGUGACGCCGGCCCGCGAAUAAGCCCCGGCUAAUUACGUGCCAGCAGCCGCGGUAACACGUAAGGGGCGAGCGUUGUUCGGAAUUAUUGGGCGUAAAGGGCGCGUAGGCGGCCGCGUAAGUCUGAUGUGAAAACCCCGGGCUCAACCCGGGAACUGCAUUGGAAACUGCGCGGCUGGAGUGACGGAGGGGAAGCCGGAAUUCCUGGUGUAGGGGUGAAAUCUGUAGAUAUCAGGAAGAACACCGAUGGCGAAGGCAGGCUUCCAGCCGAUGACUGACGCUGAGGCGCGAAAGUGCGGGGAGCAAACAGGAUUAGAUACCCUGGUAGUCCGCACUGUAAACGAUGCACACUAGGCGUCGGGGCGAGCGUCCCGGUGCCGAAGCGAACGCGGUAAGUGUGCCGCCUGGGGAGUAUGCCCGCAAGGGUGAAACUCAAAGGAAUUGACGGAAUCACUAGUGAA
rnacentral:rRNA from 1 species